GAUGAACGCUAGCGGCAGGCCUAAUACAUGCAAGUCGAACGGUGUCUUUGGACAUAGUGGCGCACGGGUGCGUAACACGUAUGCAACCUACCUUACAUUGGGGGAUAGCCUUUCGAAAGGGAGAUUAAUACCGCAUAAGACAGUAGCUGGGCAUCCAGCAGCUGUUAAAGAUUUAUCGAUGUAAGAUGGGCAUGCGUCCAAUUAGUUAGUUGGCGAGGUAACGGCUCACCAAGACUUUGAUUGGUAGGGGAACUGAGAGGUCAAUCCCCCACACUGGCACGGAGAUACGGGCCAGACUCCUACGGGAGGCAGCAGUAGGGAAUAUUGGGCAAUGGACGCAAGUCUGACCCAGCCAUGCCGCGUGCAGGAUGAAGGCGUUAUGCGUUGUAAACUGCUUUUAUACAGGAAGAAACGACUCUUGCGAGAGGCAUUGACGGUACUGUAUGAAUAAGCACCGGCUAACUCCGUGCCAGCAGCCGCAGUAA
rnacentral:rRNA from 1 species